AGAAAAAGAAGAAGAAGAACUACCGCUUAAGCUGCUGGCAGACUGCACACUGUCCAAGUUUGUCACACACUAAACUUUUUGUGGAAACUGAAAAUAUGGGGGGUUCUCCACGUCCAAGGUUUGGUUCACCUUGGUUGGUCUCCUAGUUCUCAUGCAGGGCUCUAUAAUGCCUGAGCAUAGAUGAGUCAUCAACACAAGCCUCGAUUCGCGCUUCAUAAAAAUCGUCCUGGAUUACUCGACACAAGCUUCGAAGCCUCGACACGAACGUCACAUCACUAAUUUUCUCAUACUUUUUCUGUCUAGGCUGUUUUUAUUGACGUGUCUGUCUGUUGUUUUCUUUUUGCAAAAAUGGUAUGAAAUUGAUUGUGUUGAAGUGUUUUAUACUCCAUAUUCUAAUCCAAUUUAAAACGGAAAUGCGUGGGUGUUACUUAAAGUUUGCCC
ensembl:lncRNA